GUUGCACCUGAUGCCUGUGAUGGAGCAGUAGCGCUUGCAGUAGCAGGUGCACUUUGAUGAAGAAAUUUUGGGCGUAACAUCAUAAAAGAGCGCACUGCAACCUCUGUAUUGCGCAGCAUAUCUUUAACAACAAUCAUUAGCUCUUGCAAGAUAGCCUUUUGUCUUUCCAUUGAUGUACUAAUUCCACCAAGUUCCUGAAUGCUGCGGCUUGCAUCCAACUCAAAACCAUCAUUUG
rnacentral:misc_RNA from 1 species